rnacentral:rRNA from 1 species
GAUGAACGCUGGCGGCGUGCCUAAUACAUGCAAGUCGAGCGAACAGACGAGGAGCUUGCUCCUUUGACGUUAGCGGCGGACGGGUGAGUAAAACGUGGGUAACCUACCUAUAAGACUGGGAUAACUUCGGGCAACCGGAGCUAAUACCGGAUAAUAUUUCGAACCGCAUGGUUCGAUAGUGAAAGAUGGCUCUGCUAUCACUUAUAGAUGGACCUGCGCCGUAUUAGCUAGUUGGUAAGGUAACGGGUUACCAAGGCAACGAUACGUAGCCGACCUGAAAGGGUGAUAGGCCACACUGGAACUGAGACCCGGUCCAGACUCAUACUGGAGGCAACAGUAGGUACUCUUCCGCGAUGGGCCAACGCCUGACGGAGCAACGCCACAUGAUUGAUGAAGGUCUUCGGAUCGUAAAACACUGUUAUUAGGGAAGAACAAACGUGUAAGUAACUGUGCACGUCUUGACGUUACCUAAUCAGAAAGCAACGGCUAUCUACGUG